rnacentral:rRNA from 1 species
UCCGUAGGUGAACCUGCGGAAGGAUCAUUAAUGUGGGGGUAAGGUGGUAGUGAUUGUCAGAAUAUGACGAUUGCAAACCACCCAACAUCAACGCUUGUAUUGUUUGACUGUUUUGAUUACUCUAAAUAAAUGACAACUUUUAACAAUGGAUCUCUAGGCUCUUGCAACGAUGAAGAACGCAGUCAGGUGCGAUAAGUAGUGCGAUUUGCGCUGAUCUGUGAGUCAUUGAGUAUUUGAACGCAACUUGCGUGCCGCAGGGGACUGCGGUGCAUGUCUGUUUGAGAGUCGGGAUAAUGUUGUCAGGUAAAAUGGCAGAGAUGGGGUGGUGCGGGUGAGUGAUGAUAUGUAAUAUGAUUACCACAUGCGCACCCUGGAAUUCAGCAUGAUGAGGCUGCAGGAGCAGCAGCGUGCUAGGUUUGGUUUUCGCUGUGUGCAAGAGCAGUCUUGGGAGUUGUAGGAUAUAUUCGUAUAUAAUACACAUUUAUCACACACCAGACCUCAAAUCAGGACAAGGACCUACCCCGGCUGGAACUUAAGGCAUAUCAAUAAGGCGGGGAGGGGAAGGUCGGACUGGCCAAGGGGCACACAGGGGGGGGGGAUA